UACGGAGGGUGCAAGCGUUAUCCGGAUUCACUGGGCUUAAAGGGUGCGUAGGCGGGUAUUUAAGUCAGUGGUGAAAGCUCCGGGCUUAACUUGGAAACUGCCAUUGAUACUGUAUAUCUUGAAUGUCGUUGAGGUAAGCGGAAUGUUGCAUGUAGCGGUGAAAUGCUUAGAUAUGUUACAGAACACCAAUUGUGAAGACAGCUUACUAAGCGAUGAUUGACGCUGAGGCACGAAAGCGUGGGGAGCAAACAGG
rnacentral:rRNA from 1 species